rnacentral:rRNA from 1 species
AUUGAACGCUGGCGGCAGGCCUAACACAUGCAAGUCGAGCGAGAGGCGGACGGGUGAGUAAAGUAUGGGGAAUGCCCGAUAGAGGGGGAGAACUACUGGACACGGUGGCUAAUACCGCAUAUGGUCCGAUAACCCAUAGGGGAUUAGCUAGUAGGUAAGGUAAUGGCUUACCUAGGCGACGCUCCCUAGCUGGUCUGAGAGGAUGAUCAGCCACACUGGGACUGAGACACGGUCCAGACUCCUACGGAGGCAGCAGUGGGGAAUAUUGCACAAUGGGCGCAAGCCUGAUGCAGCCAUGCCGCGUGUAUGAAGAAGGCCCUAGGGUUGUAAAGUACUUUCAGUCGGGAGGCGUUAUCGACAGAAGAAGCACCGGCUAACUCCGUGCCAGCAGCCGCGGUAAUAC